UGCGCAGGCGGCUUAUUAAGUCAGUGGUGAAAUCCUGCGGCUCAACCGUAGAACUGCCAUUGAUACUGUUAUUCUUGAAUUUAGUUGAGGUAGGCGGAAUGUGUAAUGUAGCGGUGAAAUGCUUAGAUAUUACACAGAACACCGAUUGCGAAGGCAGCUUGCUAAACUAAUAUUGACGCUGAUGCACGAAAGCGUGGGGAGCGAACAGGAUUAGAUACCCUGGUAGUCC
rnacentral:rRNA from 1 species